rnacentral:rRNA from 1 species
GACGAACGCUGGCGGCGUGCCUAAUACAUGCAAGUCGAACGAGAGCAACCGGUGCUUGCACUGGUCAAUCUAGUGGCGAACGGGUGAGUAACACGUGGGUAACCUGCCCAUCAGAGGGGGAUAACAUCCGGAAACAGAUGCUAAAACCGCAUAGGUCUUCGAACCGCAUGGUUUGAAGAGGAAAAGAGGCGCAAGCUUCUGCUGAUGGAUGGACCCGCGGUGCAUUAGCUAGUUGGUGAGGUAACGGCUCACCAAGGCCGUGAUGCAUAGCCGACCUGAGAGGGUGAUCGGCCACAUUGGGACUGAGACACGGCCCAAACUCCUACGGGAGGCAGCAGUAGGGAAUCUUCCGCAAUGGACGCAAGUCUGACGGAGCAACGCCGCGUGAGUGAAGAAGGUUUUCGGAUCGUAAAACUCUGUUGUUAGAGAAGAACAAGUGCUAGAGUAACUGUUAGCGCCUUGACGGUAUCUAACCAGAAAGCCACGGCUAACUACGUG